rnacentral:rRNA from 1 species
AUUGAACGCUGGCGGCAGGCCUAACACAUGCAAGUCGAGCGGAUGAAGGGAGCUUGCUCCUGGAUUCAGCGGCGGACGGGUGAGUAAUGCCUAGGAAUCUGCCUGGUAGUGGGGGAUAACGUCCGGAAACGGGCGCUAAUACCGCAUACGUCCUGAGGGAGAAAGUGGGGGAUCUUCGGACCUCACGCUAUCAGAUGAGCCUAGGUCGGAUUAGCUAGUUGGUGGGGUAAAGGCCUACCAAGGCGACGAUCCGUAACUGAUCUGAGAGGAUGAUCAGUCACACUGGAACUGAGACACGGUCCAGACUCCUACGGGAGGCAGCAGUGGGGAAUAUUGGGCAAUGGGCGAAAGCCUGAUCCAGCCAUGCCGCGUGUGUGAAGAAGGUCUUCGGAUUGUAAAGCACUGUAAGUUGGGAGGAAGGACAGUGAGUUAAUACCUUGCUGUUUUGACGUUACCAACAGAAUAAGCACCGGCUAACUUCGUG